UCCACGGGCGAAAGUAGUGGGGCUGCUCAGGAGAAAGAUGGCCGCCACCAGCGAGGAACGGAGUGUUAUGGAGGCUUCUCAGAUGAAUUCCGGGCAAACUCAGCCCGUCGAUCCCCUCAAGCUGCUCUAUCCGAUGGUCAACGAAGAGGAAACACCGCUGCCAAGGUCCUGGAGUCCCAAGGACAAGUACAAUUACAUCGGCCUCUCGCAAAACAAUCUUCGUGUUCAUUACAAAGGGUAUGGAAAAACUCACAAGGAUGCAGCAAGCGUGCGUACAACUCACUCUAUACCAGCUGCUUGCGGUCUCUAUUACUUUGAAGUGAAAAUAGUCAGUAAAGGCAGAGACGGGUACAUGGGAAUCGGCCUGUCCGGUCACGGAGUCAAUGUAAAUAGGUUGCCUGGUUGGGAUAAGCUUUCGUAUGGAUAUCAUGGCGACGAUGGGCACAGCUUUUGUUCCUCCGGAACAGGACAACCUUACGGGCCAACAUUUACUACGGGGGAUGUAAUAGGUUGUGGUGUAAAUCUCGUUGACAACAAUGCUUUUUACACAAAGAACGGACAUAAUCUUGGUAUCGCCUUUACCGAUCUUCCGCCAAAUUUGUAUCCAACCGUUGGUCUCCAAACACCUGGAGAAGUGGUGGAUGCAAAUUUCGGUCAGGAACCUUUUGUCUUUGAUAUCGACGAUAUGCUCAACGAGCUCCGUGUUAGAACAAGAAUGCAAAUCAUAAACUACCCGACACCAGAUCAUGGCCAGGGUCAGUGGCAAGCGGUUCUUCAUAAAAUGGUUUCAACAUACUUGGUCCAUCAUGGUUAUUGUGCUACUGCAGAGGCAUUUGCCAACAGUACCGGUCAGGUAUUCGAGGAAGAUUUUAACUCCAUAAAAAAUAGACAAAGAAUUCUGAAGUUGGUACUAGCAGGUAGAAUGGGCGAGGCCAUAGAAUUAACCAGUCGACUGUAUCCGGGACUCCUCGAGCGGGAUCCGAAUCUUCUUUUCGCCUUGAAAUGUCGACAAUUUGUUGAAAUGGUGAAUGGUAGCGAUUCUGAGGUUUGUCAGAAUUCGAAUGUUAAUCAAACCAGUGUUAUACAGUCCACGAAAGCUUACACCAAGUCUUCAGCGAAUGGUAACGUCGAGGAGAUGAACAUUAGCAACACGAUCAACGGUUCCACCGAGCAACAAUUCGUGAAUGGACAGAUCGAAGACGACGUAGACAUGGACGAGAAUAUCGUGAACGGCGUUAGAAACAACAACGGCUAUCAGAAUGGCGAUUUAAAUACCAACGGAUACAAAUGUCGGAACGGGGAGGACGUCGAUAUGGAGAUCGAUAAUACCAAUCAAAUUCAGCAACAACAGAACGGCAGUUGCAAUCCAGAAAACACAUCGAACAAAGCUAACAAGAAGCAGCUUUGUGGCGGGGAUAAACAAGCGAUCGAGAAAAUGUUAGAAUUCGGCAGGCAGCUUUACUCUCAGUCCAUACAUCUGCGACAGCAACACGGGAAGAAUGAAAGUAACAAAAAGAUGCUUCAGGAUGCGUUCAGUCUUCUCGCUUAUGCAAAUCCGUGGAAUUCACCGGUCGGAUGGCAGCUCGACCCUCAACAGAGAGAAACCGUUUGCGCGAGACUAAAUUCUGCUAUACUUGAGUCGAGUAACUUGCCACGACGACCGCCAUUGGAAGUUGCUGCGUCACACGCGAGGGAACUGGUGCGGCUGAUGUCUCGUGCUGGUCUUGGGGCAUGCGGUUUCGCUGUUGUAGACAAUAUCAUCCAAUAUUGACGGUGCCUACCCCUGCUGCCACGUCUGCUUCUUCCGCCGGCUCGAGUGUGGAUGUGGAGACGGAACGUGGAGCAGAGAAUACUUUUGCAGCAACAACAUCGCGACAUUGCGUGCCUCUUCAGCUAGAGUCCGCUUUACCGGCAGUUGGCUCUCUGUCUCGAUCUCUCUCACAAACACACGCUCACACACUCAGGACACAUACACACACCUAACACGAACGAAUGAUACACGUACAUGCGCGCGAAACCCACCAAAAAGUACACGAUAUUAUGGCAACGGGAACGAGAACGAGGAUAAUGAUGAUGCUGAACGGUCGCUGCACGACACUGUUGAACUUUGAACAACAGAGUUUCCAAUAAAGACGACCAGAGGAUCAUAGAGCGUAACUAUGGAUCACGAGUAACGAUAAGCAAGAAAACGUAAGGAUAUAAUUGAAAGUUUGAGAUUAAGAUCAAAAUCGAUGACGAACGCCGAGGAGCAGAGGAGAAAGAUUAAAGAUUAAGAUGCAGAACCACGAGGCGAGAAAUUGUAACGUUAAAAGUACUAAAAACUCGAAACGAAUUAAUUUCGAAGAUGAAAAACGGGAACGUAGUCGAAGAGAAAGAGAUGGAAAACAAGGUUGAAGAACGAUGGUGAUGGAAGACCAGGAAGAUGCAAAUAAACUCGAGGACUUAUGAUUUUAACACCUGCCAAUCGAGUCGAUCGUUUUCUCUUUUUUUUUUUUUUUUUAAGCCCUGCAGUUCCCUCGUUCCCAUUAUCAGCUAUCGUGAUGUACCAUUAUUAUUGUAAAAAAACGUGCUUUUAUAUUUCGCCCUGUUUGAAAUAUGUUUUGAACGGACCGAUGAAUAUUUCAGGUAGGUUUUUAACUUGUUUUAUCUAACCGUAAUCGUUCAAAAUACCCAUUCGUCCUCUGUUACCCACCCUUAAACAUCAGAGUCGUUUUAUCUCCACCCUUCGAACAAUUGGAACAAUCGAUCGUCUCCUCGCGAUGCUGUUUAAUUCAUAUUUUUGUUUUUUUUUAAAUUUCAUUUUUUAUAUCCUUUCGUAAUUCGUUGAACAGACUUCACUCAAACGCUUCCUUAAUAAUUGCCAUUCUAAUGAAAUUUUAGUUUUAUUUAUAUGUAACGGGUCCUUUCGUUAAGGGGGAUAAUCACGGGACUUGGUGGAAAAAAGUAAGGGCAUCUUUGCUAUUUAUUUCUCGGCUCUGUAAUUACUUUUCUGUUAUAUAAUUUAUCGACACGCUAAAGAGAGUAGAGAAAAAUAUUAUUAUAAUUUUAUUUUCAGUUUCUCGUCGAAAUUCACUGUGUUUUGUGGUUGUCAAGUUUUUGUCUGUUCGAAGUACAGUGGAGUCGCGUUAUAUCGCCGCAGAACGGGCCUGUAGGAGAGGAAAAUUCUCGGAAAUGGCUAUACAUAUGAGGACUUGAAGUGUGAACACGAAGAAUCUCUGCCGUAUAGUGUAAUAAAAUAUAUGGAAAUGCGUUGCGAAGGAAAACUUGACCAGGAGACGAUAGAACGCAACUCUACUGUAUUUUAAAAAAAAGAUAUUUCUGGAAUUACAAUCUAUAAUAAUAUCGCUAACAUUUGAUAACGACUUUCUAUGAGAUAAUAUUUUGUACAGAAAUAGCUGUCGUUCAAAGUCGAAGGUCCUUUUUCAUUUCUCCAUUCUUUUUAACAUGAUAGGAAAAAGAUAGAAAAAGUAUAGCAAACAGUCUACCUACUAAGUUAAAUACAUUUCGAUAAAUCUUGACAGCCAGUUCGAAAAACACGGUCUCGUAACUUUGUCGCUUGGUUAAAUUUAAAAAUGAAACGUUUCGAGUAUAUUUUUAAACUUUCGAAUCUUUCCUCUUGAAUCUAAUGUAAAACUUUUAAGUUUAUUUUUUACGUCCCCGUUUAAUGCCAGUCAUGAUUGUAAUUUGAUUUUAUUUGCGUUUUAUUUUUAAGAUAAAUUUUUAAUGUCUCCGACAUUCGUUAUUGUUGUCAUUGGGGGUAAUUUUUAUUUAGAAAAAAAAUAGAAAGAAAAAUGAAAAAAGAAGAAGAGAGUGGAAUGAAAUUAACGAGAAAAGUCUUGUCGAUAAUUAUUACGGUUAUUAAUCCCUGUCGGGGUAUUCUGGGUAGCCUUUCUAAUCGUGUCGGCAACGAGUCGAUUUUUGUAUCAAUUGUUAGUUCAUAAACGAAACUAUAAAUAUAAAAGAAAUAUUCUUCGAUUAUUUGUCAUUAUUGUAAUUAAGGUAGAAUGAAAGAUAAAGAUUGUUUCGUGUUAACGUUAUUAAAUUUCAGUCUUAACGUCGAUCGCAUAAUCGAUAACAGCAUCACAGUAACGAUGAAGCAAUAAAUUUUAAUCGUAAUUCUCUUUUUUUUUUGUAUUACUUUUUUCUUAAAUUGUAUUAAAUUUAUACCAUUUUUUUUAUUGUUGCACUUUUGGCAUCCUUGUUUACUAAUUGUUAUAAAUGCCGUCGAUUGAUUAUUAACUGUUUUUCGGUUAAUUCUAUUCGGUUAAAGAGGUCAUGCGUUAACGAUAACAUAAUCCUAAAUUAUUGUAAAAAAAAAAUCGAAAAUUAUGACAGUUAUAUGAUAAAAUUAAUAAAAGUUGUAUAAUUAAAGAGAACGUUGUAAAAGAAGUGGCGUUUUGUAUUUCUAUCUUUUCGUUUCACUGUUAAGUUUCGUUAUUAUAUUUUCUAAACCACUUUGCGUUUUCUCGAUAAACUUUUAGUUAAUUAACGACAAAUUAUUUCACCGUACUUUUAAAAGAUACGAUUAAGUUUCUGAAUUUAAAGAGUUUUUCUUAUUCGAACAGUUAGCUGUAUAAAUAAUUUAAAUAUGAACGAGGUUUUGAUAAAAUUAAAAUUUAGUUUUGAUUUUCGAUAAUCGAUACUCUUCUAUUACGAAUUCUUAGUCAUUCUUAAUCCGAUCGAGAUGAUCGAUAGUUGUAAAAAUGUUUUGUGCGGGGAAAAAUUUAAUGACGGAACGAGGGAACGAUUAAAUAAUAUUUAAAAAUGAAACGAAAUAACGAACUAAGGCGCGAUUAAUAAUAGUAAUAACAAUUCUAAUACUAACUAACGACGACGGAAAUUGACACUCAAUUAAUUAAAACGAACAAAUUAAUAAGUAAUAAA